ACUCAAAUGAAUUGACGGGGGCCCGCACAAGCAGCGGAGCGUGUGGUUUAAUUCGAAGCAACGCGAAGAACCUUACCAGGGCUUGACAUGUUCGCAAAGCUCGCGGAAACGCGGGGUGCCCGCAAGGGCGGCGAGCACAGGUGCUGCAUGGCUGUCGUCAGCUCGUGCCGUGAGGUGUUGGGUUAAGUCCCGCAACGAGCGCAACCCCCGCGGGCAGUUGGAUGAUCUGCUCGGACUGCCGGGACAAACCCGGAGGAAGGUGGGGAUGAUGUCAAGUCAGCACGGCCCUUACGCCCUGGGCUACACACACGCUACAAUGGACGGGACAGCGGGCAUCAGCCAAGCCGCAAGGCGGAGCGAAUCCUUCAAACCCGUCCUCAGUUCAGAUCGGGGGCUGCAACUCGCCCCCGUGAAGGCGGAGUUGCUAGUAACCGCGGGUCAGCACACCGCGGUGAAUACGUUCCCGGGCCUUGUACACACCGCCCGU
rnacentral:rRNA from 1 species